rnacentral:lncRNA from 1 species
UCACCCUUCCGAGAACCUUCCUCAUCUCCAUAAAGUUCUUCAAGCGCCCUCUCAUUAUCGGUAGUAAAACACUGUAUGGUAAUAUGCAUGUGUAAGAAAGUGAUAGAUCGAUUACAAAACCUCAGAGAGAUGGUUUAUCAACCUAUAGGACCAUAUUAGUAAAUUAUACAAAAGAGUUCCCCAGACAAUGCAUUGCUGAAGGGCCACCUUCCCCUCUAUAAUCUCAUUUCUCAUUCAGAUUAACGACAAGAUUAAGUAAGAAGCUCUGAAAUUCCUACAACUAUGAUACAGUUGUUAAACUCUAGAUAUAUAAAACAAUGUCACUUUUAUUUUCAUGCUGAAUCAUUUCAAGUUGUUAAUUGGAUGACCCAUAGAAAGUAAGAAAUGCGAGCUAUGAAAAGAUUUCACUUAAUCAAAUAUGGACAUGCCUUCACUAUGAAAGAACUAAAGUGGAUUGAAAAGAAUGACUUAGGAAAAAGCGCCAGACUGAGCCCAGGGCUUUCAUUCAAUGGUAACAGCGUAACUUAAUGUCUAGGUUAGACACAUGUGACGAAUUCGAACCCUACCGUGGGCUCAUUAUCCAUCAAGUUAGAAGCUAUACGUCAGCUGUCCCUUGAGGAUUUUUGGGUUAAAAGCUCAUAUUAGGUGAUAAUUCGUGCGUGUAAUAACUGCACGGAAGAGGAUAAAAGUGUUUGAGAGCCAAGGGGAUAUGGUCAGGAUAUCAAAUAAAUAAUUGGACCUAUCAUGUUCUUUUUUCCUUUCACAUGUAUACACCAUGGAAGGAGGAGAGGAAUUGAAACACUACAUAAAGUUCCUUUGUUAUUAUAUCCUUGCUCUAAAUAAUGAAAGAAAAGCAAAGUUCAGGUAAGACAUCCAACUGGGCAUGAUGUUAUUUAACUCUGGUUCUUCUAAAAUUAUCAAGAACAAGGAUCAAUCCAUUUUGCAACCUCAUAGACCAGUAUUCUAUACAACCCCAGGGGAAAAUCUGCUGGCAAAAAUAUGCCAUAUUUAGAGCUGUUGCAUCGAAAUACCUUCUUAUAAGAGAAAGUAACAGUCAAGCAGUUUGCUAUAUUACAAUAUGCUCCUUGGUUUCUUGCAGUAUCAAUGAUAACAAAGGAAAUCCCCCCAGAACUUACAUACUAUAGUUAAGCACAGGAAUCAAAGCAGAGUAAUCACAAAAAAUUCAUGACCUUCUGAGUGAUGCAUCAUCACAUACCUGGAUAUCAUUAGCAAAAUACUCCAAAUUCAUCU